rnacentral:rRNA from 1 species
GAGUUUGAUCCUGGCUCAGAACGAACGCUAGCGGCGUGCUUAACACAUGCAAGUCGCACGAGAAAUCCCGGGCAACUGGGAGAGUAAAGUGGCGCACGGGUGAGUAGCGCGUGGGUAAUCUACCCUUAAGUUGGGAAUAACACCUCGAAAGGGGUGCUAAUUCCGAAUAACGUCCCUGGGGCCCCGGUCCCGGGGAUCAAAGAUGGCUGAGGCUUGCAAGCUAUUGCUUAAGGAUGAGCCCGCGUACCAUUAGCUAGUUGGUGAGGUAAUGGCCCACCAAGGCUAUGAUGGUUAGCUGGUCUGAGAGGAUGGCCAGCCACACUGGAACUGAGACACGGUCCAGACUCCUACGGGAGGCAGCAGUGAGGAAUCUUGCGCAAUGGGGGCAACCCUGACGCAGCAACGCCGCGUGAGUGAUGAAGGCCUUCGGGUCGUAAAGCUCUGUCAGAUGGGAAGAAAAUUUCGGGCGUAAAUAAUACCCGGAAUCGACGGUACCAUCAAAGGAAGCACCGGCUAACUCCGUGCCAGCAGCCGCGGUAAUACGGAGGGUGCAAGCGUUGUUCGGAAUUAUUGGGCGUAAAGAGCGUGUAGGCGGCCGGGUAAGUCAGAUGUGAAAAUCCUUGGCUUAACCAAGGAAGUGCA